UGGGUAACCUGCCUCAAAGAGGGGAAUAGCCUCCCGAAAGGGAGAUUAAUACCGCAUAAUAUGUUUAGGUCGCAUGACUUUAACAUCAAAGGAUUUUUCUUUUAAGAAAAUUCCACUUUGAGAUGGACCCGCGGCGCAUUAGCUAGUUGGUGAGGUAACGGCUCACCAAGGCAACGAUGCGUAGCCGACCUGAGAGGGUNAUCGGCCACAUUGGAACUGAGACACGGUCCAGCUCCUAGGAG
rnacentral:rRNA from 1 species